ACUGGAAAGCGCGGCGUCUUUCUGUAACCAGGGCUACUUCUGGGGUCGGGUUGUGUGAAUGACUUGCGGGCGGGAGUCCUGUUUGUCGUUGUUCUAUGUUGAUCGAGCGUCCGCACGAAGCUCGGUAUCGACAUGGUGGAAGCUGAGGAAUCUCUUCUUCCAGGGCGUCUAAGGAAGGUUGAACCGGCUGAGGCGCGAAUAUGCGAGCAAGUCAAAGACCUCAUGUCGAGCAGUCGUGGGAUAGCGCUUGUGAAUAGACAACGGCAGGCAGCCCGUCCAAUAUAGUUGGACCAUAAUCUGU
rnacentral:SRP_RNA from 1 species